rnacentral:rRNA from 1 species
GCCAGACUCCUACGGGAGGCAGCAGUGAGGAAUAUUGGUCAAUGGCCGAGAGGCUGAACCAGCCAAGUCGCGUGAGGGAUGACGGCCCUACGGGUUGUAAACCUCUUUUGUCGGGGAGCAAAGAGAGUCACGUGUGACUCAUUGAGAGUACCCGAAGAAAAAGCAUCGGCUAACUCCGUGCCAGCAGCCGCGGUAAUACGGAAGGUCCGGGCGUUAUCCGGAUUUAUUGGGUUUAAAGGGAGCGUAGGCCGGUCUUUAAGCGUGCCGUGAAAUUUUGUGGCUCAACCAUGAGAGUGCGGCGCGAACUGGAGACCUUGAGUGCGCGGAAGGCAGGCGGAAUUCGUGGUGUAGCGGUGAAAUGCAUAGAUAUCACGCAGAACUCCGAUUGCGAAGGCAGCAUACCGGCGCCCAACUGACGCUGAAGCACGAAAGCGUGGGUAUCGAACAGGAUUAGAUACCCCCGUAAU